rnacentral:rRNA from 1 species
AUUCGGCGUAAAGAGUGGUUAAAGGCCUUUAAAACACUAAAGCUAAAUGCUCUCCUAACUGUUAUACGCUAUCGAGAACAAGAAGCCCCCCUACGAAAGUGACUUUAUUUAUCUUGACCCCACGAGAACUGUGGCACAAACUGGGAUUAGAUACCCCACUAUGCACAGUUGUAAACCUUGGUGGCCCCCUCCACUUAGGCCGCCCGGCAGGAACUACGAGCAAAAGCUUAAAACCCAAAGGACUUGGCCCGGCUUAAGAUCCCCCUAGAGGAGCCUGUUCUAGAACCGAUAUCCCUCGUUUAACCUCACCCCCUUUUGUUUUCCGCGCUAUAUAUCGCGGUCGUCAGGCUACCCUCUGAAGGUUUUAAUAGUAAGCAAAACUGGUA